UUUUAUAUGUGAUUUAGAAAAUUGAUGGGCUUUGGGUUUGAUAUUGCAUUAUAUUUGUUUUCAUAUAAAACCAUAGGAAAUAGGUCUUGUUAGUGUUUUGACAGAAUGUUUUGUUUUUAGGAAGAGAUUACUUAUAUUAAGCAGGAGACUGCAGCAGUAACGGUUCUGGAAGAAUUCAAAUGGGAUAUUUAAAGGCAAUCUAAGUCCCAUAUCCUCUCUCCCCGGCUCUGGGGAAUGUCACAUAAAUAAGGAAAAGGAGCGUUUGAGUGAGUUCAACUUUAACUCUUUGGGUCAUUCUUCCUUAAUGUGGCGCUCAGAUUGUUAUUGUAGCCACUGCCCUGAUCAUUGCUCCCCAGAGGUGCUUCCCUGACACUGCAGAGCUGGACCGGAAGGGAAGGCAGGGAAGUCAUAAGCGAGUUAUUUCAAAAUGCGUUCGUGAUCGUGACUGUUCCUCACAGACUCAGACAACACGAGUAUCUCCUGGGUUCCUCUUUCUGUACCCUCCCCCUUCCUGCACAGCUCCCUGUGCUGUGCGCCCCCCGCCCCCGCUCUUUCUGCCCCCACAGCAGCAUUGGCCUUUAGUCUUGAGAACAGUCACUGCUACCAGUGUGCAUGAGGUGUAAUUUCCCCUGCGGGUGGGGGAAGAGGGAGGUUUGUACCCAGGCAAACCCGAAACUGUGAGGACACAGCCCAGGGAGAAAGAAAUCAGAUCUACCAGCAGCCCCAGCAGCCCUUGCUUUCCUGUCUAGUUUAAAGAAUUUAAACACUGGUUUUUCACUAUUGCCUAGAAAAGGCAGUCCACACGUAAACAAACAACUCUUGAUUAAGUUUUCCCACUUUAACUGUUUAUUUUUUUAAACGAGAGUUUCAGACACAGGCAUGUGGUGGGGCUCUUUUGCAGUGGGGAAGCUCGGUGGAGAUUGAAGAGAGGAAGAAGGCAGACUAGGUGUUUGUUUUGUGUGUUUUGUUUUUUGUUUUCUCUUCGGGGCAGAGUUGGCAAGUCACAGGUUUCAAUAGGAAGCCAUCUGUUCCUUUCGACAGUAAAUCAGCUUGUCUUUAAUAGAAACACAAUUUUCAGCUAUCGUCCCACUUUUUGAACAUUUGCACUGUUUUCCCCUUGGUGGUUCCAGAAUUAUAAGGUAAUUGAAAUUCUAUUCUCAGUCCUUUUUUCUUCAUGUCCUACACAUUUUCUCUGAGUGUUUCUCCCCAUUCAUUUGUCUUUAAUGUCAUGCUGGUAUUUCUUCAAAUAUACCCAUACCAGAGUCCUUUCUUUGUCUUUUAUUAGUUGAAAUUCAUCCUAGGUUCUCACUUAAGUCUAGGUUUGUGUUAAUGUUUGCAUCUCUCUCACUCAGAACUUUUAUUCUCUAUCUUUGACUUCAGUGUCCCAUUGUACAUAACACUGGAAGAUGAAACACAUAGCAUUUUAACUUCUGAUUUGGCUUAUAAAUUUCCAUCUCCUUUUAUGUUAUUCUGUCAAACUAGGAAGCUUGCCUGGUUCUUGUCCUGUGAGACUGAAUCCUGGAUAACACCUGCUUGGCUGAUACUUCUAACAAGUAAAUCUUGAUCGCCACAACCUUCAUCUCCCCCACAAAAAAGAAGCUAGGAUCUAUAUGACGCUGAAAUAGUGCUUCUAAAUGCUGGGGCAUAGUGGGGCCAAUGUCUUUCAGAUAGUAAGUAUUUCAUUGAAGAAGUUAUUUCCCUAUAACCUCUUCUCCUGAGAUGAUAUUUGGAUCAUUCUUAUUCCUUUGUGGCCCUGGGGAUGCUAAUAGUUGAGCUCUGCCCAUGCCAAUGAUCCCAGAAGGGUUGAACUGCUCAGGAAGGAUGUUUUCAUUCUAGGUCAUUUUUACUGGAUUUAUAAGGGUAGAGAAGAAAACAAUGAACAUGUAACUCUGAAAGGGAAAGAAGGAAGAGUGGAGGCAGGGAGGAGAAGAAGGAGUCCCGGAUAGUUCUGACACCCAAGAGUCUCAGGGCUUCUGGCCUUAGAUAGGUUUCCACAACGGAUGGCAAGUCUGAAUGACAGGGGAUCAAACCCAGAGACAAUGGCAAAUAAUCAAAAGCUAAUAGGAAUGCUGGGGGAAAUGGAACCAGUUACUUCUGGAUAGGAAGGAGAUCCUAGAAAGCACUAGUAGGGAUGUGGGAAUGUAAGGCAGGGAAGGGAAAGGAGCCAACCCAAGUUGUACUGAGCAGCAUAUAACCCCUGUAGACAAUGAUGGAGGGGUUCCCAACAUAGACAUCUGGGUCUCUGUCCUGCUGGGGACCUCAGCAAUUGGCACAGAACACAUCUCAGAGUAAUCUCAUUUGGUGGGCAGUGGACAAUUUAAUAAGCAAGGAAAUUGGAGUAUUUAUCCACUAACUUCUAACUGUCAUGGAUUGAGGUCUGCUCCUGGGGACAUUAGCUCUCUGAUGACUUCAGGCUGCUCCAUGCAAGAGCCAAGCAUCCUCUGGUAACCAGGUAAUCCCUCAGGCAAAGAGUUACAAGUGGUUGAAGGAAGAUGCCACAUGCAUGCAUGAGAACCCUGAAUGGUGAGGAUCUGUGCAAGAGGCACUGAAAGCAUCUUCAUGAGCAGUACAUGUUGGGUAUCAAAGUCUUGGUCAAGACUGAUCUACAUGGCUUGGACUAGGGUGAGGCUAGUGAGGAGCCAUAUACACCUCAGUCUUAAAGCAGUCUUCACCCUCAGCGUCACUCACCUGUAGGGUUGGCACUUGAGUGAACUUGGCGGUGAUUGCCUCCUUACAUGGUGUGCCCUGGACACCAAACUUGUGUCAUGCUAGUCCUGGACCUUCUGAUCUAGUGGCAGAACGAGAGACACCUGCCUUCAACAAAGCUGAAUGGAAACAACUAGCGUGUCAGACAUUCGAGAGACUCUGUACCUGAAAAAAAGAAUGGGAAAUAGUGGAGGCUGAGUCUCUUCUCUACCUGAAAAAAGUGGACCGAAAGAAAGAGAUGAAAAAGCAGGUCCCAGACAGUAGACUAGGGCUCAGGACAGCCCUCCUUCCCACACAUAGGGACAGUCAACUCCAGAAAGUUUAUGUGGUUUAGGUUGGUGAUCUGACCAGUCCUAGGUCCAGUCCUUUUGUAGCCUGUCCAUGACACAGCUGGCUCUUUUGCUGACCUCGUUCUCAUGACCAUCUUGAGAGAAGACGGAAAAACUAGAGUUGGUGACAUCAACACAGGUGACCAGACUCGGUCCUCACACGGCUGACCAGGAAUUGUGUGAAGGGACUCAUGCUCCACAGGCCGGCUACUUUCAAGUCCCUCCAUCGCUGAGAAGAAAUUCCUUUCUCAGGUGAGACUGUGCUUCUGGAUUUUUCUGUCAGAUUGGACCCCAAGGGAUGGCCAGACACUGGACAGCUGUUCAGAAUAGCUAAUCUUGUCCUAUGUUCUGAGUCAGGAGACUCUCGGAAUUUAUUUUAUACAGGGUGAAAAAAUAAUCCCUAGGGGGUAAAAAGCCAUUGACACUAGAUCAAUAACCAAUUCUAGAAGUAGAGUCAGGCCUCAGGACCCUAGAACACCCUCCCCUUCCUCGGGGACCUUCCUGGGGACAUGACCCAUACUAGUCACCACAGGAGGGGGUUUUUCAGAGAAAAGCUUAACCCACAGUGUUUCUGUUUCAUUAAGUCAUCAUCACCAAGUCCUCCCACUAGGCUGUCUGUAGUACUGAGUCUUAGAGUCACAAGACUUCCUCAAUUCUGACAGAAGGCGCUGACUGCUGCACUCACAACUGAGGGAGAGCAGAGAUCAGGACUUUCUCCAAGCCAGCAUUAGAGCCUGUCACCAGGAAAAGCCAGCCUGAGCAGAGGAGCUGCAACCAACCAGAGGGAGCAUAAUUCUGAGAGCAUUUACUGUCUGAGCAUCUGUAUUCUGCCAGGCACCUUACCGUUAAUCAUGGGAAGAUGGAAGAUGGUAAGAGAUGAAGAAAAUGCCUACGAAGGGGAUGUAGAGGACAUCAAAUCCUGUAUUAGAGAGAACAUGAUUCACCAGGUAGAAUGUGUUAGAGAACAAGGGUGGAGGGUUAAACGGGCAUCUUACUAGGCAGCAGGUUUAAGAGAGAGGAGGGGAGGAGGAGGAGGAGGGAAAGGAGGGGGGAGUAGGGCUGGUUUCAUCUUAUCCUACCAACAACCCCAUGAGGAUAGCUCUGUAGUACUGAUCCCAUCUGUGCAGAAGACGUUUAACACUCAGAUUAAGCAGCUUCCCAAGGUUACACCACUGGCAGAGGGUGAGGCUGUGAUUCAAACCCUAGGUGUUGGACUCCAGACAGCCCUCACUGCCAGGCCCAGGGCCCCUCCUGCCUUUCUUUGGGAAAGUAUUGCAGAGGCCACUGAAGUGGUCCAGUAGGGACCAGGUCUGUACAGUGUGGAUGACAGAUAAUGUCAGAUGGAGGAAUGACCUGUAUUAUAGAGGGGUGCCCUCUAAAGAAACAUUCACCAGGUGCUCAAGCACCUACAGGUGCAUGUGUGAGGCCAAAGAGGGAAGAAAUAGAUGGAAAAAGAUCCCCCAGAGUUGACAAAUCUCGGACCAGGUCACUCAGUAAAGGUUUGAUCCACAAAGCACAAGUUGAAGGCA